UACGUAGGGCGCAAGCGUUAUCCGGAAUUAUUGGGCGUAAAGAGCUCGUAGGCGGUUUGUCGCGUCUGCUGUGAAAACUCGGGGCUUAACUCCGGGCCUGCAGCGGGUACGGGCAGACUAGAGUGCGGUAGGGGAGACUGGAAUUCCUGGUGUAGCGGUGAAAUGCGCAGAUAUCAGGAGGAACUCCGGUGGCGAAGGCGGCACGCUGGACCUUUUCUGACGCUGAGGCGCGAAAGCCAGGGGAGCAAACGGG
rnacentral:rRNA from 1 species